GAUUGAACGCUGGCGGCAGGCCUAACACAUGCAAGUCGAGCGGUAACAGGAAGAAGCUUGCUUCUUUGCUGACGAGUGGCGGACGGGUGAGUAAUGUCUGGGAAACUGCCUGAUGGAGGGGGAUAACUACUGGAAACGGUAGCUAAUACCGCAUAACGUCGCAAGACCAAAGAGGGGGACCUUCGGGCCUCUUGCCAUCGGAUGUGCCCAGAUGGGAUUAGCUAGUAGGUGGGGUAACGGCUCACCUAGGCGACGAUCCCUAGCUGGUCUGAGAGGAUGACCAGCCACACUGGAACUGAGACACGGUCCAGACUCCUACGGGAGGCAGCAGUGGGGAAUAUUGCACAAUGGGCGCAAGCCUGAUGCAGCCAUGCCGCGUGUAUGAAGAAGGCCUUCGGGUUGUAAAGUACUUUCAGCGGGGAGGAAGGGAGUAAAGUUAAUACCUUUGCUCAUUGACGUUACCCGCAGAAGAAGCACCGGCUAACUCCGUGCCAGCAGCCGCGGUAAUACGGAGGGUGCAAGCGUUAAUCGGAAUUACUGGGCGUAAAGCGCACGCAGGCGGUUUGUUAAGUCAGAUGUGAAAUCCCCGGGCUCAACCUGGGGACUGCAUCUGAUACUGGCAAGCUUGAGUCUCGUAGAGGGGGGUAGAAUUCCAGGUGUAGCGGCGAAAUGCGUAGAGACCUGGAGGAAUACUGGUGGCGAAGGCGGCCCCCUGGACGAAGACUGACGCUCAGGUGCGAAAGCGUGGGGAGCAAACAGGAUGAGAUACCCUGGAAGUCCACGCCGUAAACGAUGUCGGCUUGGAGGUUGUGCCCUUGAGGCGUGGCUUCCGGAGCUAACACGUUAAGACGAUCGCCUGGGGAGUACGGCCGCAAGGCUAAA
rnacentral:rRNA from 1 species